rnacentral:rRNA from 1 species
UACGAAGGGGGCUAGCGUUGCUCGGAAUCACUGGGCGUAAAGCGCACGUAGGCGGCUUGUUAAGUCAGGGGUGAAAUCCUGGAGCUCAACUCCAGAACUGCCUUUGAUACUGGCAACCUAGAGACUGGAAGAGGUUAGUGGAAUUCCCAGUGUAGAGGUGAAAUUCGUAGAUAUUGGGAAGAACACCAGUGGCGAAGGCGGCUAACUGGUCCAGCACUGACGCUGAGGUGCGAAAGCGUGGGGAGCAAACAGG